rnacentral:rRNA from 1 species
GCAUCGAUGAAGAACGCAGCGAAAUGCGAUACUUGGUGUGAAUUACAGAAUCCCGUGAACCAUCGAGUCUUUGAACGCAAGUUGCGCCUGAAGCCGUUAGGUUGAGGGCACGUCUGCCUGGGUGUCACAC